rnacentral:lncRNA from 1 species
UUUUUUUUUUUUUUUUGAACUUUUAUCUUCAAACUUAAUUGAAUCCGGCUACAGUAGUAUCAACAGCACCAAGCUCAUGGUGCUACCAAAUAUUUUGUUUUUAAAUUUACCCCUUUGACCAUUUUUACCCUUUAGAUCAUACUACCACUGUCAUCCUAACCGCACGUUCUUUUAUCCAAUGGCCGAAAAUUUAAUAGCGCAACAAUUUGUUUAUUAAUAGUAUAGUAGCCUAAUCCUAUAUAUAUAUAUAUAGAGUCCGGCUACUAUACUCUUAUGAGUACGAUUGCCCUCGUACUCAUAAAUUAUUUUCGAUGAUAGAGCUUCCGAAUCGACGAUCCAUACCGUUAAACAUUAUCUAAAGUAUUUAAAACUUCUAGAAAUCAAAUUUCAUAAUUUUUCGACAUCAUUUACCUUACGAUCAAAAGCUCACAAAAUUGAUAAUUUUUAACGGCCGGUAUAAGAUACUUGUUAGUUUAACGGUGAAAAAAAAUCAAAAUCGGUUGAAUUUUUGAUAGAAAAUUCUAUUCACUACAUAGAUAAAGAUCAAUAACUCCAAUCUUAAAUUGAAGGAUCCGAUCAUCCAUUUUUAGGACGUCGUUCGAUUUCGACCGUUCAUUUUAUGCCCACUUGAUGGACUUUAUUAUGAUUUCGAAAAAUUACGAAAUUUAUUUUUUAGAAGUUUCAAAUACUCUACAUAUUUAACGGAGUGGAUCAUCGAUUCGGAAACCCCAUCAUCAAACAACUUAUGAGUACGAAGGGCCUACUACUCAUAAGAGUAUAGUAUUCCUACUCAUAUAUAUAUAUAUAUAUAUAUAUAUAUAUAUAUAGAGAGAGAGAGAGAGAGAGAGAGAGUUGAGCUAGAAUUAAUACUCUCAAAAGCACCAAGGAGGUGGUGCUUUUGAAUUUUUAACCAUUGGAUAGNGAAUCGUCGAUCAGCUCCGUUAAACUUGAUCUAGAAUAUUUGGAGUACCUAGAAAAUAAAUUUUAUUAUUUUUCGAUAUCAUUUGCUUAGUGAUCGAAUGGGCUCAAAAUCAACAAAUUUCUAUGGCCGUAGUGAGCCGUUUGCAAGUUUAACGGUGUAGAAAUAUCCAAAUCACGUGAAAUUUUGAUAGAAAAUUCUUUAUACUAUAUAAAACAAGAUCAAUAUCUUUGAUUUAAAAUUUUAAUGUCAUAUUAUUACAUUUUGUAAGAUUUUUAUUUUCAGCCGUUGAUUUUGAGCCCCUUCGUUCACUAGGCAAAUGAUAUCAUAAAAUCAUAAAAUUUAUUUUCUAGGUACUUCAAAUACUCUAGAUCAAGUUUAACGGAGCCGAUCGACGAUUCGAAAGUCGCAACAUCAAAAACGAGCUGGAAGCACGGAAGGCUCCGUGCUUCCGAUAGCAUAGUAGCCUUACUCUAUAUAUAUAUAUAUAUAUAGUAGAGCUAGAAUACUUGUAAAAAUAUCACCCAAGUGAUACUUGUGUGUUUUUAGCCCUUGGAUGGAGAGAUGUAAGGUUGAGAUUAUGAUGGUAGGUGGUGGUAGGUGGUGGUAGGUGGAAUAGUGUUUGAUCCAAGGACUAUUAGUAAUCAAAAAGUAGAUCCAAUGGCUAAAAACACACAAGUAUCACUUGGGUGAUACUUGUAAAAGUAUUCUAGCCCUACUCUCUCUCUCUCUCUCUCUCUCUCUCUCUCUCUCUAUAUAUAUAUAUAUAUAUAUAUAUAUAUAUAUAUAUAUAGUGGGCUGGUAUGCUUAUGAAAGCACGGAGGCCUCCAUGCUUCCAAGUUGUUUUCGCUGUUCGGACUUUCGAAUCGACGAUCGGCUCCGUUAGAGUUGAUCUAGAGUAUUUGAAGUACCUAGAAAAUAAAUUUUGUGAUUUUUCGAUAUCAUUUGCCUAGUAAUCAAAGUGGCUCAAAAUCAAUAAUUUUAAUGACCGUAGUGAGCCGGUUGCAAGUUUAACGGUGUAGAAAUAUCCAAAUCACGUGAAAUUUUGAUAGAAAAUUCUUUAUACUAUAUAAAAUAAGAUCAAUAUCUUUGAUCUAAAUUUUUCAUGUCAUAUCAUCACAUUUUGUGAGAUUUUUAUUUUUAGCCGUUGAUUUUGAGCCCCUUCGAUCACUAGGCAAAUGAUAUCGAAAAAUCGCAAAUUUUAUUUUCUAGGUACUUCAAAUACUCUAGAUCAAGUCUAACGGAGCCGAUCGUCAAUUCGAAAGUCCUAACAUCGAAAACAACUUGGAAGCACGGAGGCCUCCGUGCUUCCAUGAGCAUACUAGCCGCACUCUAUAUAUAUAUAUAUAUAUAUAUAUAUAUAUAUAUAUAUAUAUAUAUAGAGAGAGAGAGAGAGAGAGAGAGAGAGAGAGAGAAUUAUACUACUAUACUAUCAAUAGUACCAAGCCCUUGGAACUAUUGAGUUUUUGAUAGUUGGAUGAAAGGAUGUGCGGUUAGGAUGAUAGUGGUCCCCUCUAGGGUUGAAUGGGUGGUUGGUUUAAUAGUAUAAUCUAAUGGGUGGAAAUGAUCAAAAAGUAGAUCUAAUGGUAAAAAACUCAAUAGUACCAAGGCUUGGUACUAUCGAUAGUAUAGUAGCGAACCUAGGAGAUUACUAUCAUCCUAACCGCACAUCUUUUUAAUCCAAGAGUCGAAAAUCUAAUAACACCAAGCACUUGAUACUAUUAGUAGUAUAGUAGCCUAAUUCUAUAUUUAUGGUACAUCUGUGAUUUCAAAAGCAUGGAGGCUUCCAUACUUAUAAGUUAUUUUCGAUAAUAGGACAUCUGAUUCGAUGAUCGACUCCAUUAGGCAUGAUUUACACUAUUAGAAUUCUUUAGAAAUCAAAUUUCAUAAUUUUUUAGCAUCAUUUACCAAAUGAUCAAAAGGUCUCAAAAAGAACUAUUUUAAUGACCGAUGUGGCAUAUUUGUAAGUUCAACAAUAUAAAACAAUCCAAAUUACGUGAAACUUGAAUAAAAAAAUUUUACUUAACAUCAUGAGCAAGAUCAACGCUUCCAAUUUGGAAUUUGAGCCUUUUAUCACUAUUUUUUAUGAAAUUUUUAUUUUGACCAUUCAUUUUGAGGCUAUCCGUUUACUAGGCAAACGAAGUCAAAAAAUUAUGAAUUUGGUUUCUAGAUAAUUCCAAACUUUAUAAGUCAUGUUCAACUAAACUGAUUGCCGCUUUGAAUGUCCAUUAUUGAAAACAAUUUACAAAUAAGGAGGCCUCCAUACUUUUGACAGCACAAGAGCCUAGCUUUAUAUAUACUAGUGAAAAGACCCGCGCUUCACAGCAGGUAGAAACUAUAGGAGCUACCAAUAAAAAAUAAAAAGUAUUCAUCAAUAGAAAUAAAGAAGGUGUCGUGAAUGGGGCGAUUGGCGCGUCGGAAUGCUAACCCUCACCUCUAACCUCUAUUAAUGGUAGAGUCCUAUACUGCUGCAAUCGCAAAAGGCUGCGUCGCCGCCACUGCCACCGACAUUGCCAGGAACCUUAUUCUCAUUCUAGACUACGGAUUUCAGUACACCACCCAUUAUAUCCACCAACUCUUCUCCUCUCUCUUUCCCUGCAUCUUCGGAAACUCUCCCAUUUCCUUCAUCUCCAACAAAAAAAAAAAAAAUCACAAAAGAGAGAAAGAAGCGAUUAAACGAAGCAGACCUCGACGCAGUCAUUUACGACGGUGAUGUGGAGUGUAAAGAGGAGGUCGUGGAUAGUGGUGUGGCGAAGGAGAUCAGGAUCGACGUAGAGGGAGGAGCAGACGGCAUUGGCGCCCUUGACUCGGAUCGCGCUGAAGAAAGCAUUAGAUCAAUCAAUCACCACUCCACCUUUUGGUGAAUCUACAUUGAAAAAAGCAAGAUAAUAAAGAAAACGGCAAGGAAGAAAGUAGAAGAAAAACCACAACAUAUGGAGAAGAGAAACGGUCACAUAGAAAAGAGAAACGAUCGUGUGAGGAAGAACAUGAAUGUCCAACCACUAUGGGGAAGAAAAACGGUCGCAUAGGAAAGAGAAAUGGUCAUAUGGGGAAGAGAAACUGUCACAUGGGGAAGAGAAACGGUUAAAGGAAGAUAAAAGGCCGGGGAGAGCAAACUUGAAGAUGGAGCCCACUCCCAACCUUGAAGGUGGGUUUGCCUCGUGGAUUCUUUUUGGGGAUUAUAUAGAGUUAUAGAUAGUCCGGUGACUAUACUCUUAUGAAUAUGAUCAUCUUCAUACUCAUAAGUCAUUUUUCAAUAUUAGAAUUUCCGAAUCGACGAUCCAUACCGUAAAAAAUGAUGUAGAGAAUUUGAAACUUCUAAACAUAAAAUUUCAUAAUUUCGACAUCACUAACCUUACGAUAUAAAAAAUCUUAAAAUUGAUAACUUUUAACGGCCGGUACAGAAUGCUUGUUAGUUUAACAUUGUAAAAAAUCAAAAUUGGUUGAAAUUUUGAUAAAAAAUUCUAUUCACUAUUUAGAUAAAGAUCAAUAACUAUGAUCUUAGUUGAAGAAUCUGGUCAUCCAUUUAUAGGAUGUCGUUCAGUUUUGACCAUUCAUUUUAUGCCCACUUGAUGGAUUUCACUAUAAUUUCAAAAAAAUUACGAAAUUUAUUUUCUACAAGUUUCAAAUGCUCUAAAUCAUAUUUAAUGGUGUGGAUUGUCGAUUCUCUAUCAUUGAAAUAACUUAUGAGUACAAAGAGCUCUAUAUUCAUAGGAGUAUAAAGGCCCUACUUUAUAUAUAUAUAUAUAUAUAUAGAAUUAGGCUGGAAUACUAUUAAUAGUAAAACGCUCUUUUUGCUAUCAAGUUUUUAACCCUUGGAUGAAAAAUUGUAGGGUCAGGAUGAUAUUAGUCGGUUAGAGUUGAGUGGUCCCCAUAGGGUUGAGUGGUCCCCACUGGGUUAUAGUAUUUAAUCCAAUGGUUAGAGAUAAUGAAAAGAGUUGAUCCAAAGGCUAAAAAACUGGUAGCAACAAUGGGAUUUUGCUACUAAUAGUAGCCCAGUCCAACUCUCUCUCUAUAUAUAUAUAUAAUAGAGAGAGAGAGAAAGAGAGAGAGUCCGGCUACUAUACUCUUAUGAGUACGAUCGGCUUUGUACUCAUAAGUCGUUUUUGAUGAUAAGCUUUUAAAUCGAUGAUUUAUACCAUGAAACAUUAUCUAAAGAAUUUAAAGCUUCUAGAAAUCAAAUUUUAUAAUUUUUGACAUCAUUUACUAUACGAUCAAAAGAUCUCCAAAUUGACAAUUUUUAACGGUCGUUAUGGGAUUCUUGCUAGUUUAACAGUAUGGAAGGAGAGAAGGUGAUGCUAGAGACAGGGACGGAGAUAGCGCUUGAGCGAGGUGCGAAGUUGAACCUCCCGAGAAGGGUAAUAGGGCAGGAGUCGGCAGUGAAAUUCGCGACUUUUAUGUAAGCCAUAGAGGAGGAGGAGGAGGAGGAGAGGGACGUGGGUGCAAGGUUGUCUUCAUUGUGUUAAUGAAUGGUAACUUAGAAUGCAGAGAGAUAAGCUUAUGUACAUUUAUGAGAUAAUUGCCUAUAUAUCUCUCAAAACUUCAAAAAUAUCUUAUUUAUGGAUAUUUUUUUUUCUUUCCAAUAUACCCCUCAUAUGUUCCCCCGUUAUUCUAAAAUACCCCUGCAGUUACAACCCAUAAGUUAAUUUGGGUUAAACGUAAGUUUAAAUAUUUACUAGAAUUUAAAAAAAUCAAAAUACCUAUUUUACCCUUAAUUUAAGGGCAAAUAAGAAAUGUUAGUGAUGGUAGAAGGGUAUAUUUGAAAAGACCAAGAAUCAAAAUACUUUUUCUAUCUCUAACUUAAGGGUAAAUAAGAAAAGUCGGUGAUGAUGGAAGGGUAUAUAUAUGAAAGGGCAAAAUAGUAAUUUCAUAUAAAUAACAGUUGUUGCUAACAAUUCAUUAACAUAAUUUAACUCUAGGGGUAUCUUUGAAAUAGGUUGGAACGUGAAAAGGGUAUUUUCAAUAUUAGCCUUCUACGAUGGGUAAAUCAAAAAGUCGAAAACUUUUGAGGGGUAAAUAAGCAAUCGCCGCUAUAUUUAUAUAUACAGAGAGAGAUACAAUUCAUAAAGUAUAAAUUUUGCACUUAUCUAUCAUCAUAACAAAUCACUUUAUCCAAGAGCCGAAAACCUAAUAGAACCAAGCGCUUGGCCUUACAUGAUGACCUUUCCAAGAGAAGAUAUAUANNNNNNNNNNNNNNNNNNNNNNNNNNNNNNNNNNNNNNNNNNNNNNNNNNNNNNNNNNNNNNNNNNNNNNNNNNNNNNNNNNNNNNNNNNNNNNNNNNNNNNNNNNNNNNNNNNNNNNNNNNNNNNNNNNNNNNNNNNNNNNNNNNNNNNNNNNNNNNNNNNNNNNNNNNNNNNNNNNNNNNNNNNNNNNNNNNNNNNNNNNNNNNNNNNNNNNNNNNNNNNNNNNNNNNNNNNNNNNNNNNNNNNNNNNNNNNNNNNNNNNNNNNNNNNNNNNNNNNNNNNNNNNNNNNNNNNNNNNNNNNNNNNNNNNNNNNNNNNNNNNNNNNNNNNNNNNNNNNNNNNNNNNNNNNNNNNNNNNNNNNNNNNNNNNNNNNNNNNNNNNNNNNNNNNNNNNNNNNNNNNNNNNNNNNNNNNNNNNNNNNNNNNNNNNNNNNNNNNNNNNNNNNNNNNNNNNNNNNNNNNNNNNNNNNNNNNNNNNNNNNNNNNNNNNNNNNNNNNNNNNNNNNNNNNNNNNNNNNNNNNNNNNNNNNNNNNNNNNNNNNNNNNNNNNNNNNNNNNNNNNNNNNNNNNNNNNNNNNNNNNNNNNNNNNNNNNNNNNNNNNNNNNNNNNUCAUAUUUAUAAUAUUUUGCACUUAUCUAUUCAUAUAACAAAUCACUUUAUCCAAGAGCCGAAAACCUAAUAGAACAAGCGCUUGGCUUACAUGAUGACUUUCAAGAGAAGAUAUAUAUAAUAUAUAUAUAUAUAUAUAUAUAUAUAUAUAUAUAUAUAUAUAUAUAUAUAUAUAAUAUAUAUAUAUAUAUAUAUAUUAUUCUUUAUUUUCUUUUCUUUCGCCCUCUGUAUUUGUUUUCGCUAUCGUGCCCCAUCUCUCGCCCUCUGCUGCAGGAUUCCACCCUCGCCCGACACGCUCUCACUCCUCAUCCCUCCUUAAAUCUUGCCGUACCCUUGUCGUCGUUGCUGUCCAUGGCCACACUGUUACGCCUGCAAGUAUAAUUAGGAGGUUAGGAGUAGAUUAAUGGAGGUUAGGAGAGUAGUAAGCAAUAAAGCAGGAAGAUGAAGGCUUAGCUUUAUCUCUGAUCAUGCGGGGUUGAGAAGCUUCGACCUAUAAAAGUUGGCGCGGAGCGCUUAGAAGUGGCAAGCGCGGAAAGGGAAAAAGAGAGCGAUUAGGGCGAGGAAGAAGAAGGGCGAACUGGCAGGAUUUCGAGGGCGAAUGUGCGAACCGACAAGGCACCCUAUUAGUUCGGGUGUUUGGGGCGGUUGGGCAAAUGUCGGCCCAGUAUGCUACCAAGUGAAGAUCCAGAUCUACACAGCCCAAACCACAAGCUGUGGGCCACUGAUGAAGGAUUGGAAGCCCGUUUAGGAAUUAGGGUUUAUUUUAUUCAAAUUCGUAUUAUAUAUAGGAGGCAGUGUGUAACUCCUAGGGUUUUUUAAUGGAUGAUUAAUGAAAAUUCUCCGUCUUCUUAACUUCUCUCUUAUUCUCUCUUAUUCUCUCUAUUCCCCCUGAUCCUUUUCCUCAAUCUAUCUUUUCUCUUCUUUUCCUUCUUCUUCUUAUUCAAUUAUUAUCUACACAUUAUUCCGAUCUGUAUCGCGAAGACAGCAAACCGAAACCAUCAUCCUCGACGCCGUCCAUCGUCUCAGCGAGAUCUCAUCAUCGACGGGUUGCGCCGAGUCAGGUACGUAACAAUUGGUAUCAGAGCGGUCCGAUCCCAGGGCAUUGAGUGGUAGAAUCGCUUCCUAACUCCAAUCUCGGCAUUGUUGAGUUUAAUCGCGAGUAAGAUUUCUGCGCUGCCGAGUCUAAACCGAGAUCAGAGUCGGACAAAAGAAAUCACCACAAAAUAACCCUGAAAUUAACCGCAUGAUCAGAGGACAUUCCCUCAAUCAUCAGAUCGACAUUAUCACACAAGCACAAUAAACUAUCCGAGGAUAUAUCAGUCGAGGAAAGUCACAAGAAAUUUAUCCAUCCAGUCUGAAGGACCAUCUUAAUUGAGGCUUACCGACACGCCAAAAUUGGGGGAAGGCGAGGCAACAAAUUUAAAUUUAAUCCCAAAGAGUAUCUGGAAGAAUUAGAUAUGGCGGAAGGGACUCGACUAAGAGAUAUUAGUGAUCAUAUCCAUUCUUUAGAAGAAAAAUUUCAGAAGUUAGAGGCCGAACAUCAAUCCAGAUUAGGGAUACUUACCGAGCAGAUGGCGGAGGUACGAGAUUCGGGGCAAAAACAGUACGAUGCAAUGCGGGCUGAAGCUACCAAGCGUCAUGAGGAGCUGCUGAAACUGUUGACAGCCCAGCCACCUAUCACUCAGACUCAAGGCAGAGCAAUUACUCCUGAGAACAAAAUUCCUUAUGGCGGCAAACCAGGGAGUAGCAGCACCCCACAUGUUAUCAGGGAAGAAAAGGGAAAAGGGAUAUUACCCACCCCUAGAAAGCAACUCGACGUAGAGGAUGAUCAGAUUUCACCGUGGACUAACAGGAGUUUUAAUAAUCACCAACAUUUUCCAUAUCCUCGAUUGGAUUUUCCCUCAUUUGACGGCGACGACCCUAGAAAUUGGAUCGAGAAUUGUGAGCAAUUCUUUGAGUUGUAUCAAAUACCCCAACAGCAAUGGUUGAGCAUAGCCACUAUGCAUUUAUUCGGCAGGGCGAAAACGUGGAAACAAGGAUACUUCAUUAACAAACAAGUGGUUUCUUGGGAUGAAUUCACUGAGGCAGUGUGCAAAAGAUUCGCCCACGUAGGGGAGCGGUAUUUAAUUCGAGAAUUUCGCAAUUUGAAACACACCGGAACAUGCGAAAAAUAUCAAGAGAAGUUUGAGGAGUUAAGAUUUCAAUUACUCUAUUACAACCCCCACUUGUCGGAAGAGUACUUUAUCGCGUGUUACAUUAAUGGGCUCAAGGAAGAAUUUUCCAUUUCUCGACAUCGCUCAUCCAAACACAUUAGAGGAGACAUAUGAACAAGCACAGCUACACGAAAAGGCUCUAGCAGUGAUUAACAGAAAGAAUCGAUUUAUUUCUAAGACACCGAUGGAGACCAAUCAACGAGACACAUCAGAUAAGGGCACUGAAGGAACCGGGCAACAGUACCAGAACCAGAACAGAACUACAACUGGUCAAUAUACUGCUAACAAACAGUUAAUGGAACAUCGUCGAGCUGCUAGAUUAUGCUUUCGAUGUGGAGAAAAGUACCAUCCUGGGCACGUUUGUGCAAACAAGUCAUUGUAUACAUUACAAGCUACUGAGGAUAUUAUGGAAGUUUAUGAUGAAAGUUGUUUACAAGCAGGAUCAAACGACGUGACAGUCACGGGAAAGGAAGGAGAGGAGCCAGAAGUUGUACCUGAAGAAAAGAAUCCGCAAGAAAUAGGAGUGUCGGUUCAUGCAGUAAGUGGAGGGAAACCCCAGGACACCAUCAAAAUACAAAGUGAGACAAACAAUCGACUUCUCACCAUUUUGAUAGAUAUGGGAAGCACGCACUGUUUCAUCGACCUGCAAGUAGCCAGAGAGAUUGGCGCACGAAUAGAAGUCGCUUCUCCCUGGGUAGUGACAGUAGCGAAUGGCCAUAAGGUUUUGAGUAAACUAACAUGCCCUGGUUUCACUUGGAUCAUGCAAGGACAUACAUUCCAAGCAGAUUUGAUGGUGAUCAGAUUGGAAGGCUCAAGUAUUAUAUUAGGAAUUGAUUGAUUAAAAUCUUAUGGACCAGUAACCUUUGAUUUCCUAGCGAAUUCAGUUGCUAUCACCAAAGAAGGUCAGAGUUUAGAACUGAAAGGGAUCGAGGAAAGAGCUAAAUUAAGGUUGAUAUCUGCAGCCCAAUGGAGACAGGACAUAGAGAAGGGUGAAUGCUAUCUCCUCAGACAUCAACCUUUAACAGAAGAAGAUAAACAAGAAGUAGAGGUACACCCAGAGAUUCAAGAGGUGCUGGAUAAAUUUCAGAAUGUGUUCGAAGGGCCCAAAGAGUUGCCCACACCCCGAAUUUUGGAAUCGAAAACAGUGAAGCGUGAGAACAGGGCUGUGACUGAGGUGCUGGUUAAGUGGACAAACCCUCCAAUGGAGAGCGCAACGUGGGAAGAUUACUGGCUUCUUAAGAGUCAGUUUCCAUCUUUUGAUCCUUGAGGACAAGGAUCGCAUUAAGAAGGGGGGAUUGUUACGCCUGCCAAGUAUAAUUAGGAGGAUUAGGAGCAGAUUAAUGGAGGUUAGGAGAGUAGUAAGCAAUAAAGCAGGAAGAUGAAGGCUUAGCUUUAUCUCUACAUCAUGCCGGGGGUUGAGAAGCUUCGACCUUCAAAAGUGGCGCUGGGAGUCGGCUCAGAAGUGAAGGGCGGAAAGGGAAAAAGAGAGCGAUUAGGGCGAGGAAGAAGAAGGGCGAACUGGCAGGAUUUCGAGGGCGAAUGUGCGAACCGACAAGGCACCCUAUUAGUUCGGGUGUUUGGGGCGGUUGGGCAAAUGUCGGCCCAGUAUGCUACCAAGUGAAGAUCCAGAUCUACACAGCCCAAACCACAAGCUGUGGGCCACUGAUGAAGGAUUGGAAGCCCGUUUAGGAAUUAGGGUUUAUUUUAUUCAAAUUCGUAUUAUAUAUAGGAGGCAGUGUGUAACUCCUAGGGUUUUUUAAUGGAUGAUUAAUGAAAAUUCUCCGUCUUCUUAACUUCUCUCUUAUUCUCUCUUAUUCUCUCUAUUCCCCCUGAUCCUUUUCCUCAAUCUAUCUUUUCUCUUCUUUUCCUUCUUCUUCUUAUUCAAUUAUUAUCUACACAUUAUUCCGAUCUGUAUCGCGAAGACAGCAAACCGAAACCAUCAUCCUCGACGCCGUCCAUCGUCUCAGCGAGAUCUCAUCAUCGACGGGUUGCGCCGAGUCAGGUACGUAACACACACCUUGCAUUGUAGCCUCACCUUUGUGAUCUGUACUAUAUCCGAGCUAGCAUUGUCGAUCGCUACUAGGGUCAGCGCAGGUAUGGGCAAGGUAGGAGAGGAGAGUGGCGUCGAUGUGGAGGGAAUGGAUGAGGAGGAGAGAGAGAGAAAGCGGAAGGAGAGAGAGAAGAAGGGAUCACGAGAACAAAGGAGCUAGAGGAGGAUGAAGGAGAAAAACGAACUAUAAAGAAAGCAGAGAGAGAGGAAUAAGAAAAUUUUGAUCAAUUUAAUAAAAAUCUAGGCCUACUUUGCACAAUCUAAAAAGUGGCCAAUAUUUCUAAUUUUUUAUGUAAAUUAGUCCAAAAAGUUUUAGAGCAUUUUAGAAAAUAGAUUAAUUUAACCCGUUAUUUUGUACUAGAAGAUUGCCAAAUGGCUGCAGUCCUUUUAAAAAAUGGUGAGCACCAUGGAUCACGUCUAGGCGCUGGUUGGGCCAGGACCAACCUGACUUCUGUUUAAGGAAAGUUUUUUUUUUAAAAAAAAAUACGUCAACUUUUCUAACUUUGACGAGAUUAGUUUACUCAUCCAAUUCUUUAUUUUUUUUAAAGUAAACUUAUAAUUUAUCCAAUGUGGUUUAACUUAUUUCCUUGCAUGUAUAGUUUAAAAAAUUGCAACUUAACUAUUUUGUGAUUAUGGUUAUAUUUAAUCUAAAAAAAUUAUUAUCAAACAGGAUUCCAAAGUAAGAUUUUUGAUAAUCACAUGAUAGUUAAAUGUAACCUUUUAAACUAUAGUACGAUAAAGUGAAAAAUAAAAAUGAGUUAAACUAAAUGAGAGCAAUUUGAAGGUUACCCGAAAAAAUUAUAUAAAUUUUAGAUUUUUUUUAAUUAACUACCCAGUCUCGAUGUUUGUUACUUGUGUAAUAAAUUGCAGUUCGCACAGCCGUUUAAUCCUUAAAAGUUAAUAGUUAAACUUUUGCGUAUAUGAAUUAAGAAUAUUUGAUCUUUAUAAAAUUACCAAUUCUUAAAUAAAAAAAAUAUUAGAAUUUGGAUUCAAGUAUUUAAUUGAAAUGAACUAAAAAUUCUUAUAAUUAUUGUCAAUUUCUAAAAUUUGAAUGAGAAAUGAUUGUAGGACCUCAUUUUUUGAGUAUCCUAUUGUGUUGUUAAAAACUUGAUAUAUAUAUAUAUAUAUAUAUAGAGUUGAGCUAGAAUACUCUCGAGAGUAAACGAGCCCGUUUACUCUCGAGUUGUUUUCGAUGAUAGAGCUUCCAAAUUGACGAUCGGCUCCGUUAAAUAUGAUCUAAACCAUUUAAACUACCUAGAAAUCAAAUUUCACACACUUUCGAUAUUGUUUUAUAUCCAUCUAGGUGAAGAAAAAAUGAAUGGCUGAAAUAAAAUAUUCUUUUAAAAAAUGAUGAUAGGAGUCUUGUAAUCAAGAUCAAGAGUAUAGAUCUUGUUUUAAAUAGUCUAAAGAAUUUUCUAACAAAAAUUCAAUUGAUUUAGAUAUCUUUACACCGUUAAACGAGAAAACGUCUCUUAUCCACUAUUAAAAUUACAAAUUUUGAAACCCUUUGAUCAUUAGGCAAAUGAUGUCGAAAAGAUUUGAAAUUUAAUUUCUAAACACUUCAAGUGUAUAAAUCAUGUUCAACGGAGCGAUCGUUAAUUUGGAAGCUCUAUCAUCGAAACAACUCGAGAGUAAACGGCUCGUUUACUCUCGAGAGUAUUCUAGCUCAACUCUAUCUAUAUUAUAUAUAGAUAGAUAGAGUUGAGCUAGAAUACUCUCAAAAGCACCAUGAAGGUGGUGCUUUUAAGUUUUUGCCAUUAGAUGAAGAGAUGUGAGGUUGAGAUGAUGGUGGUAGGUGAAAUAGUGUUGUAUCCAAGGACUAUUAGUAAUCAAGAGUAGAUCAAGGGCUAGAAACUUAGAAGCACCAAAAGAAUAUUCUAAAAGUAUUCUAGCCAAUUAUAUUAUAUAUAUAUAUGCCGGCUACAUACUAUUAUGAGUACGAUCGCCCUCGUACUCACAAGUUGUUUUCGAUGAUAGAGCUUCCGAAUCGACGAUCCACACCGUUAAAAGUUAUUACAAGUUUAAACUUCUAAAAAUCAAAUUUUAUAUUUUUUGACAUCAUUUACCUUACGAUCAAUAGAUCACAAAUUUGACAAUUUUUAACGGCCGGUAUGGGAUACUUACUAGUUUAACGGUGUAAAAGAAUCGGAAUUUGUUGAAUUUUUGAUAGAAAAUUCUAUUCACUACAUAGAUAAAGAUCAAUAACUCAGAUCUUGAAUUGAAGGAUCCGAUCAUUCUUUUUUAGGACGUCGUUCGAUUUUGACCGUUCAUUUUAUGCCCACUUGAUGGACUUUAUUAUGAUUUCGAAAAUUUACGAAAUUUAUUUUCUAGAAGUUUCAAAUACUCUAAAUCAUAUUUAACGAAGUGGAUCGUCGAUUUGGAAGUUCCAUCAUUGAAAACAACUUAUGAGUACGAGGGCUGCAAUACUCAUAAUAGUAUAGUAGCCAUGGCCUUUAUAUAUAUAUAUAUAUAUAUAUAUAUAUAUAUAUAUAUAUAUAUAUAUAUACUAGUGUAAAUACCCGCACAUUGCUGCGGAUAGAUACUAUUAAAAUAAAAAUUUACAAAUAAAAAAAU